rnacentral:rRNA from 1 species
UACGUAGGGUCCGAGCGUUGUCCGGAAUUAUUGGGCGUAAAGAGCUCGUAGGCGGUCUGUUGCGUCGGCUGUGAAAACCCGGGGCUCAACUCCGGGCCUGCAGCCGAUACGGGCAGACUAGAGUUCGGCAGGGGAGACUGGAAUUCCUGGUGUAGCGGUGAAAUGCGCAGAUAUCAGGAGGAACACCGGUGGCGAAGGCGGGUCUCUGGGCCGAUACUGACGCUGAGGAGCGAAAGCGUGGGGAGCAAACAGG